GACGAACGCUGGCGGCGUGCCUAACACAUGCAAGUCGAACGGAACUGUUUUGAAAGAUUUCUUCGGAAUGAAUUUGAUUUAGUUUAGUGGCGGACGGGUGAGUAACGCGUGAGUAACCUGCCUUCAAGAGGGGAAUAACAUUCUGAAAAGAAUGCUAAUACCGCAUGACAUAUCGGAACCACAUGGUUUUGAUAUCAAAGAUUUUAUCGCUUGAAGAUGGACUCGCGUCCGAUUAGUUAGUUGGUGAGGUAACUGCUCACCAAGACCGCGAUCGGUAGCCGGACUGAGAGGUUGAACGGCCACAUUGGGACUGAGACACGGCCCAGACUCCUACGGGAGGCAGCAGUGGGGGAUAUUGCGCAAUGGGGGCAACCCUGACGCAGCAACGCCGCGUGAAGGAUGAAGGUUUUCGGAUUGUAAACUUCUUUUAUUAAGGACGAAAAAUGACGGUACUUAAUGAAUAAGCGCCGGCUAACUACGUG
rnacentral:rRNA from 1 species